UAAGCAUACGACAGCUGGCCACUUUGUUUUCAUGGAAUCAUCCAGCAUGCCAUGAAAUCUAGUCUGCUUUUUUUCUGCACAGUUUGUUUUGUUUGGUACACGAACUGAAACGUCAUGGAUACCACAAUGGAAGUAAAAAAUUGUACAGAAAUCAGUUGGAAGCUUUCUAGGAUAAUGAAGUUCUUUUAUAGGGCACCCUCAAUUGGUUUUGUCAAUCUAAUGCUUGGGAUUUCCUAACUGUAGAAGAAGUUGCAUCGGACAGAGAUAACCGGAGAAAUAGAAUGUGAGCAAGUUUCACCGAGAAACGACUACGAAAGUUCAAUGCCUAAACACGACCCGAUCAAUUAAAUACUAUUUGGUUUAUUCCAUUGGUUCAUCAAUAACAUUAAUUUGUUUCAACACCGUUAGUCUUAGAUGUUUUAUCUAGUGCUAAGAUUUCUAUCCAGGCAAAUAAAAAUGAAUGAACUGCAACAAUGCUUUAAA